UGGCUGGUGAUGCUCGCGAAUUAUACAACUUACUACAACCUGAUCUUAUUUGAAAGGUUCUAUACAGUACCUACUCCGUGUGAACUGAAAUUACGACUGAAGCUG
rnacentral:snoRNA from 1 species